UCCCUGGUGGUCCAGUGGUAAGACACUGUGCUCCCAAAGCAGGGGCCAGGGUACGAUCCCUGGUUAUGGAA
rnacentral:tRNA from 1 species